rnacentral:rRNA from 1 species
GGGCCCGCACAAGCGGUGGAGUAUGUGGUUUAAUUCGAUGCAACGCGAAGAACCUUACCAGGGUUUGACAUCCUGCGAAUCUCUUGGAAACAGGAGAGUGCCUUCGGGAACGCAGUGACAGGUGGUGCAUGGCUGUCGUCAGCUCGUGUCGUGAGAUGUUGGGUUAAGUCCCGCAACGAGCGCAACCCACGUCUUUAGUUGCCAGCAUUUAGUUGGGCACUCUAGAGAGACUGCCGGUGAUAAACCGGAGGAAGGUGUGGAUGACGUCAAGUCAUCAUGCCCCUUACAUCCUGGGCUACACACGUACUACAAUGCUACGGACAAAGGGCAGCAAGUUCGCGAGGACAAGCAAAUCCCAUAAACCGUGGCUCAGUUCAGAUCGUAGGCUGCAACUCGACUCCAUGAAGUCGGAAUCGCUAGUAAUCG